UAUGGUCAAGCUAAAAAGGGCAAACGGUGGAUGCCUUGGCGGUAGGAGGCGAUGAAGGACGUGGUUAGCUGCGAAAAGCUUCGGGGAGUUGCUAAACGAGCGUUGAUCCGGAGAUAUCCGAAUGGGGAAACCCGGCCAGGGUCAUGCCUGGUCAUCCUGCACUGAAUACAUAGGUGUAGGAAGCAAACCCGGGGAACUGAAAUAUCUCAGUACCUGGAGGAAGAGAAAUCAAUUGAGACUCCCUGAGUAGCGACGAGCGAAACGGGAAUAGCCCAAACCGGCGGGAAGCAAUUCCUUCCGGGGUUGUAGGACCUCAAUGUGAGACUUUGAUGGAUAGCGGAAUGGUCUGGAAAGGCCGGCCAAAGAGGGUGAAAGCCCCGUAUGCGAAAUCUUGAUGAGCUCUAGAGUGUUCCUGAGUACCACGGGGCACGGGAAACCUUGUGGGAAUCUGGGUGGACCAUCAUCCAAGGCUAAGUACUACCUACCGACCGAUAGUGAACUAGUACCGUGAGGGAAAGGUGAAAAGAACCC
rnacentral:rRNA from 1 species